rnacentral:rRNA from 1 species
UGGGGAAUUUUGGACAAUGGGCGAAAGCCUGAUCCAGCAAUGCCGCGUGUGUGAAGAAGGCCUUCGGGUUGUAAAGCACUUUUGUCCGGAAAGAAAUCCUUGGCUCUAAUACAGUCGGGGGAUGACGGUACCGGAAGAAUAAGCACCGGCUAACUACGUGCCAGCAGCCGCGGUAAUACGUAGGGUGCAAGCGUUAAUCGGAAUUACUGGGCGUAAAGCGUGCGCAGGCGGUUUGCUAAGACCGAUGUGAAAUCCCCGGGCUCAACCUGGGAACUGCAUUGGUGACUGGCAGGCUAGAGUAUGGCGGAGGGGGGUAAAUUCCACGUGUAGCAGUGAAAUGCGUAGAGAUGUGGAGGAAUACCGAUGGCGAAGGCAGCCCCCUGGGCCAAUACUGACGCUCAUGCACGAAAAGCGUGGGGAGCAAAACAGGAUUAGAUACCCUGGUAGUCCACGCCCUAAACGAUGUCAACUAGUUGUUGGGGAUUCAUUUCCUUAGUAACGUAGCUAACGCGUGAAGUUGACCGCCUGGGGAGUACGGUCGCAAGAUUAAAACUCAAAGGAAUUGACGGGGUCAUA